GGUGCUGUGGCAGAGUUGGUUAUUGCGUGAGGCUCGAAUUACCACAUUCUAAAUCUCAUUCCUUCGGGAGCACAGGUUCGAAUCCUGUCGGCAUCG